rnacentral:rRNA from 1 species
CGCAUAUCAAUAAGCGGAGGAAAAGAAACCAACAGGGAUUGCCUCAGUAACGGCGAGUGAAGCGGCAACAGCUCAAAUUUGAAAUCUGGCCCCAGGCCCGAGUUGUAAUUUGCAGAGGAUGCUUUUGGCGCGGUGCCUUCCGAGUUCCCUGGAACGGGACGCCAUAGAGGGUGAGAGCCCCGUCUGGUUGGACACCAAGCCUCUGUAAAGCUCCUUCGACGAGUCGAGUAGUUUGGGAAUGCUGCUCAAAAUGGGAGGUAUAUGUCUUCUAAAGCUAAAUACCGGCCAGAGACCGAUAGCGCACAAGUAGAGUGAUCGAAAGAUGAAAAGCACUUUGAAAAGAGAGUUAAAUAGCACGUGAAAUUGUUAAAAGGGAAGCGUUUAUGACCAGACUUGGGCCGGUUAAUCAUCCAGCGUUCUCGCUGGUGCACUUUGCCGGUCCAGGCCAGCAUCAGUUCGUCGCGGGGGAUAAAGGCGUCGGGAAUGUGGCUCCUCGGAGUGUUAUAGCCCUUCGCGCAAUACCCUGCGGUGGACUGAGGUUCGCGCUCUGCAAGGAUGCUGGCGUAAUGGUCAUCAACGACCCGUCUUGAAACACGGACCAAGGAGUCGUCUUCGUAUGCGAGUGUUCGGGUGUAAAACCCCUACGCGUAAUGAAAGUGAACGCAGGUGAGAGCUUCGGCGCAUCAUCGACCGAUCCUGAUGUUCUCGGAUGGAUUUGAGUAAGAGCAUACGGGGCCGGACCCGAAAGAAGGUGAACUAUGCCUGUAUAGGGUGAAGCCAGAGGAAACUCUGGUGGAGGCUCGCAGCGGUUCUGACGUGCAAAUCGAUCGUCAAAUAUGGGCAUGGGGGCGAAAGACUAAUCGAACCUUCUAGUAGCUGGUUUCCGCCGAAGUUCCCC